CCCAGAGAUGAAAAUUAAAGCAGCUUUGCGGCUUUUUUGAGGCAAAUAUGGAGCUGUUAGAAGUGAUAGCCAAGUGUUUAUGGCAUGAGGUCAGCUUCUGGAGCUUGGUUAAAAGGAGCACCUUAGGUCUCUGAUGUGAGAAAAGGUACUGGCCCUCAAGGAGCUCAAAAUAUAGAAUGGACAAUAAAAGAAAGUGCAAGAGGCGUGGGGGCUUGGAGGGGUGGAGAAAGAAUCUGAGCAGGGAGCCUGAUGUGGGGCUCAAUCCCUGGACCUUGAGAUCAUGACAAGCUGAAACCAUUUUGACUGAGCCACCCAGAUGACCUUGGACUUGUAUUUCCUUCUUAAUCUGGUGUUAUCUUAUUUGAGUAAGGGCAUAGAAUUCUUAAUGUUAUCUGGAAAUAGAUAUUUCUAUUAGAACAAAACCCUUUUUGAAUCAUUUCUGAAUGUGUAAGUCUGUAAUGGGUUCAGUCUUGAGGAGGGGAAACCUAUGUAUUGUUAAACCAUAAAAGGAAAUUAAAGAUCCAGUGAGGAAGACAAGGGAGACAUCAUCCAAUUCCAAAGGCAAACACUGUGCCCUCUACUCUUGAAAUGCCUUUAUUAAAAGAAGGGUUCAUUCAUAUAUCCAUUAUCACCCACUAGAAUCAAUUUGUCUUUUGGUGAACUAUGGAAGACAGUAUUUUCUACAAUUCAUAAACACAUCUUAUUCUCUCUCCUGGCACAAAUCCUGGCAUUAUCUGAGAGAAUGAAUUUUUUUAAAAGAUAUUAUUUAUUUAUUUGACAGACAGAGAUCACAA